rnacentral:lncRNA from 1 species
CUGAUAUUGAGCAGCCGUACAGGUCGUUCAAUUUCUAUAGAUUGUCCACUCGAAAUCCCGAUCGAAUCUUCCUUCUCGAGAGUGCUAGCUCACGUCAAAAGUUCUUAAUGGCUGAUCCAAGCUCCUUUCUUUGGAUCUAUCAGACUCUUUCAGAUCAGAAGAUGAAGCUUUAUGAAAAGAUAGUGGUGUAAGAGAUUGGAUAAGACUCACUCUUAUAUUUUUCUCUCACAAAAUCUAGAGUCGAAACCCUAGAACCCACCCU